rnacentral:lncRNA from 1 species
GGUUGUUGUCUUGAUUUGGGAUGCUCUCUGUUUUUUUUUUCCGUUCUUGCUAGGUAGGAGUAUGCGGCCGGAAGGAGCCGCCUUCUCCCUCUGCUUUUGGUCUGGUACUCUGGUCGGUUAUGUUCUUCUAGUUCUGUUCUUGGAGACUUGGAGAUCGCUACAUAUUCCACGAUAUAAAGACUACAGAUUGAAGAGACCUGAACUAUUAGGUCCCAUUGUCAUACUGUCUAUCUGUUUAUAAAUAGUCCACUUAGCAGCAUAACUGAAUGAACAUGCCUGGAGGUGAGUUAGUGUAUAAACAUGACUGGAUGUGAGUUAAUGUAUGCAUGCGUGUGAACGUGCCAAAAUUUUGCAAAAUUGCUCACUGUUCUUUUUGAUGUAUAUAUGUGUAUUUCUGUAAGAUGCUAUGACUUGGAAAUAGGUCAACCAAAUUCUUGUCACAUGUA